AAGAGUGUAUUUUCAGGGAUCAUUUCUAUAGUAUGUGACUAGAGAAGUUUCUCUGAUCGUGUAGAGCACCCAAAGCCACGAGGAGGAGCCAGAGCGUCCUCCCUGAGCAUGAAGCCAGCUCUAAGUAUAUCUUCUGUGACCACCUUUGGCCAUUGAUGAUCGUUCUCCCUUUCCUUUGCAAAGGGUAGAAGGAGAGGAUGCAAUCUGAGUGGU